rnacentral:misc_RNA from 1 species
AAGACUAUAGACCUGCGGAGUACCUGCGGAAGGAUCAUUACUGAGUUUCACAACUCUCUAACCCUGUGUGAACUGAAGUCUGGUUGCUCAGGCAGGCGGCCCCCGGGGGGAGCCGCAGCUUCUCUGAAGCGCCUGCCGGAGGAUACCUAAACUCGUUUUAACAUAUAAUCUUCUGAGUAAUAAAAAAAAAAUGAAUCAAAACUUUCAACAAUGGAUCUCU